GAUAAACGCUGGCGGCGUGCAUAACACAUGCAAGUCGAACGAUGAAACUUAGAUGAUUUCUUCGGAAUGAACUUAAGCGGAUUAGUGGCGAACGGGUGAGUAACACGUGAGUAACCCGCCUUACACAAGGGGAUAGCCUUUGGAAACGAAGAAUAAUACCCUAUAACGUCAAUUUAUCGCAUGAUAGAAUGACCAAAGAUUUAUCGGUGUAAGAUGGACUUGCGUCUGAUUAGCUAGUUGGUGAGAUAAAGGCCCACCAAGGCAACGAUCAGUAGCCGGCUUGAGAGAGUGUACGGCCACAUUGGGACUGAGACACGGCCCAAACUCCUACGGGAGGCAGCAGUGGGGAAUUUUGCACAAUGGGGGAAACCCUGAUGCAGCGACGCCGCGUGAUUUAGAAGGCCUUCGGGUUGUAAAAAUCUUUUUUAUGGGAUGAAAAUGACAGUACCAUAAGAAUAAGGUCCGGCUAAAUACGUGCCAGCAGCCGCGGUAAUACGUAUGGACCGAGCGUUGUCCGGAAUCAUUGGGCGUAAAGGGUACGUAGGCGGCCCAGUAAGUUAGAAGUGAAAUAAUAUAGCUCAACUAUAUAAAGCUUUUAAAACUGCUAGGCUUGAGAGAUGGAAGGGAAAGUGGAAUUCCUAGUGUAGCGGUGAAAUGCGCAGAUAUUAGGAAGAAUACCGGUGGCGAAGGCGACUUUCUGGUCAUCAUCUGACGCUGAGGUACGAAAGCGUGGGUAGCAAACAGGAUUAGAUACCCUGGUAGUCCACGCUGUAAACGAUGAGUGUUAGGUUCUUGGAAUAAUCUGGGAGCCGCAGCUAACGCAUUAAACACUCCGCCUGGGGAGUACGCACGCAAGUGUG
rnacentral:rRNA from 1 species